GAGGGCGAGACCCCGAGUAAACUUUCCAGCGGCUUCGGCCGGGGGCAUCUGCGGCGGCGGCGGCUGCGGGCUCCGUCCCCUGGCAGAUCCCGGCGGGGGAGCGAGUGCCUUGCGCUGGGAAGGUCUGGAGCCCCAGCUGAGAGCGGUGCCACCCUCCUUUGCCCCUGCCACUCUUCGCAGAAAAGAUCUGUUCCAGAACUGAGUGUUGACUGCUGCAGGGACUACGGUGGGGUUUGCUGUGCUCCCAUCUGCAGACAGUGGGUUUCAUGCUUCCUGGUGCUGGAUCCUAAGAAUGAUUUGCAUCUCCUGAAGGUUGGUUGUCCUGCAACUUCUCUGCUAUCAUCUCUUUUCUAGUUAAGACAUUUCAAAAAUGCCUUAACUCUGGGAAUUUCUAUUUUAUCCUCAGGAGAGACUUAGAUUUCAGACUGUUUCAGGUGAAUAGAUGUUUCCCCACUCAUUGGAUUGUUGUCCUAAAUGACAGCCAAGGAAAGAGGUGACACCAAAAACUUCCCACCAUCUUUGUGGUACUGCCAAAAGACGACACUCGGUAACUGCCUCGGCCAUACACUAUGAAAAAUUAGUGACACUAAAAUCUAAGAAAUAUCAGGCACCAACAUUACUGAAAUGAUUACUAGCAAAGCUAGUCUGAUUCUAUAGCUAUUUAAACCAAGGUUAAAGAGUUGUAGUAGUUAUAACCCAUUCUCUGCCCACCGUAGAGGAAGGAAGGUUUUGCAUUUAUGAUUGAUAUUGUUUGACUCAAUUCACUGCCUAGACUAACUUGAAUUUAAUUCUGAGGAUAACUUUAUUCUUAAAUAUAAAAAUAGCAGUUCAUUUUUUUUUUUGUCUUUUUGUCUUUUCUAGGGCUGCACCCGCAGCAUAUGGAGGUUCCCAGGCUAGGGGUCUAAUCGGAGCUAUAGCUCCAAAAAAAAAAAAAAAANNNNNAAAAAAAAAAAAAAAAACAGUUAAUGCAGUAUUUGCCUGAAAAGACUUCAGCCUUAAGAUGGGCCCUAGAGCCAUGUAAUCCCAAGUUAAUUAAAAAUAAGUUCUUAUGAAUAUUUAAGAGUCAUUGUUCAAUACAGCAUUCUGUAGGCUUAUUUGUUUGUCUUUUGUAAAAUUCAAAAUAAUUCUAAGAAUGCUGCUAGGAUUAGAAGGCCUGUAAUGGACCUGUAAUAAGAAUGAUAACUAUUUCUGACUAUUUGACACAAUGAUCUCUCUCCCUUUGGCUGACGGUGGGAUGGUGUCUGUCCUAUUGAAGCAUGAUAGAGAAAAGAGUUCAUUUAUUCAACAAAUACGUAACGACUGCUGUGUGCCAGGCUCUCGUUUCAGUGUUGCGAACGAGGCAGUGAACAAAAAGCAAACUCUCUGCUUUCAUGGAGCUUGUAAAAACUCCCAAAUAAUCUCAGCAAACCAACGGGAGAAGAGAGGCGCAGAGAACUUGACUCACUGUCAGGUGUCCUGGGAAAACCCCCUUCAAGAUGGCAGGCAAGAUGAAAAGGAGGGAGCUGGAGCCUGAUUUGGAAAAUAUGCUAAAGCUAUCACAGUGCUGUAAUCUAACCACUGCAAAAAACAUAGACGCUUAUCAAAACAAUAAACCAAAAGCAGGUGCCAGGGUGGUCUAACCUAGGCUUAGAAAAAAAGAAGGAUUACUUUUCAAGGAUACCAUUUUAAUGCAUUUUUUCCAGGUUCACAGAGUUUGCCCAAAUUCUGCCUCCACCGCCCCCUCCCAGCCUCAGCUGUGUCUAAAUGCAGCCUUCUUGACUUUCUCUGUGCAUAAAUAUGAAUUCAUAUUUGCCCCCUUAAUAAAGUAAGAGAUAAUCACCAAUGAUGCUUUUGAGCAACGUAUAUUUCCUCCUAAUAUAUGUAGAAGGUUUUAACAAAUCAGUACUAAGAGAGUGUCCUCAUUCUUUUUUUUUCCUCAGCAGCGACAGAGUAGCCCAUUGUAUGGAUGUACCACAAUUUAAAUAGCGACCUAUUGAUGGAUGUUUGGAUUGUAGCCAACGCUUACUCUUAAACAAUGCCACAGUUAGUAACUUUGUGUGUAGACUGUUCUGCAUGCACAGAAUUAUAUGUGUAUACAUUUGCAAAGUAGAAUUAUAGUUCAUACAGUAUGUGUAUAAUUUUGAUAGUCAGAUUGCUUCCCAGAAGUGCUUUAUCUUCUCACCCCCCUGCUAGAAACAUGUGAGAGUAGCCGUUAUCUGGGUUUUUUGCCAAUCUGGUAAGUUAAAUGGUGUCUCAGAGAUUCAAUUUAGGAAUACUGUUCAUUCAGAAUUUUCAGUGGUAUUUUUUUUUUAAAGAAAAUGCUCAGAAAACUAAAUAAGACUAGAAUUCAGCUCUUUUUAUCAUACAAAAAAAUAAAAA
rnacentral:lncRNA from 1 species